rnacentral:lncRNA from 1 species
GCCACACCCCCCAACCUUGUGGACCGACCCUGCCUGCGGCUGAAAGUUUACGUGCGUCCAACCAAUGAGACCCUGUAUGAGGCCCCAGAGCCCAUCUUCACCAGUAACAGCUCCUGCAGCGGCCUGGGUGGCUGCCACCUCUUCCUCACUACAGUCCCUGUGCUGUGGUCCCUACUGGGCUCCUAGUGUCCAGCCCCACCUGGACCCCUUGACCUUCGCCCUCUGACCUGCCACGGCCACCUCCGAGACAAAAUCCUUGCUGCUUCUCUUUCAUGGUGCUGUCCCUCCGGAGGAGGCCAUCGACCGGUCCCUGGGAUGCAACAUGGGGUCCCAGUGCCUGAGACUGAGAUCCAGGCUGAGCCACUUUUGCCAGGACCACCAGGGCCGUCCAGUGUUGUUUGAUUACGGUCAGAAAGACUUAGGGUUUCUCUUUUAAUUUAAUUUAUUCCCUGAUAUUGCUGGUGACAUUGGGAAGGAAACAAGUCACAGGGGUGA